UACGUAGGCAGCAAGCGUUGUUCGGAGUUACUGGGCGUAAAGAGUGCGUAGGCGGUCCUGUAAGUUUGGUGUGAAAUCUCCCGGCUCAACUGGGAGGGUGCGCCGAAGACUGCAGGGCUUGAGUAUGGGAGAGGUAAGCGGAAUUCCUGGUGUAGCGGUGAAAUGCGUAGAUAUCAGGAGGAAUACCGAUGGCGAAGGCAGGUCUCUGGGCUGACACUGACGCUCAUGCACGAAAGCGUGGGGAGCAAACAGG
rnacentral:rRNA from 1 species